UACAAUUAGCAUAUUGUAAUGUCAAAGAU
rnacentral:piRNA from 1 species